rnacentral:rRNA from 1 species
UACGUAGGGUGCAAGCGUUUAAUCGGAAUUACUGGGCGUAAAGCGUGCGCAGGCGGUUGUGCAAGACAGAUGUGAAAUCCCCGGGCUUAACCUGGGAACUGCAUUUGUGACUGCACAGCUGGAGUGCGGCAGAGGGGGAUGGAAUUCCGCGUGUAGCAGUGAAAUGCGUAGAUAUGCGGAGGAACACCGAUGGCGAAGGCAAUCCCCUGGGCCUGCACUGACGCUCAUGCACGAAAGCGUGGGGAGCAAACAGG